rnacentral:tRNA from 2 species
GCCUCCAUGGCUUAGUGGUAGAGCGUUCCCUUCGUAAGGGAAAAGUUGUGAGUUGGAUCCUCACUGGGGGCA